UGAGUCUGUUGUUCGUCGUUCAUUUCAUAGUUCAUAUACUAACUUGUAGCACAGCGCCCUAUGAAAUUAUCAUGUUUAUGGUAAACUGGAUAAAAACAUUGUAACACUUGUGCACAUUAAUUUAAAAGAUCACACUACUACGUGCGUGAGUUUUUUGCCAGUGACUCAACGAUUAAGAUGCCAAGAUGAUGCCCUUACCAGAAAACGAAGAUGUAGUGUGCUACUUUGUCAUAAAACAUUCAUGGAAGGGGAAAUACAAGCGUAUUUUCUCCAUCGGCACCACAGGCAUUACCACCUACAAGCCGCAGACUCUAGAAGUGACCAACAGAUGGCUGUACGCAGAUGUGACUUUGCUCAAAGUGUCUCCGUCGUCGCCGCAGGAGUUCAUGAUCACGGCUCGCAAGGAGGGCAACAAGAAGGGCGACACCAUGAGGUUCUCUACCGAACAUCGAGCGCAGCUGCUGUCCGAGGCGUUCAAGUCUCGUCACAUGUUCCACGAGCGGUGGACCGAGACUCAGAAGUAUGAGGCAUUCAAGCACCAUUGGUCUGGCACUAGGUUGCCUGUGCUGCUUGAGGUAACGCCUAUAUCCGUGGACCAGUUGGAUACAGCUACCUCACAGAUAUUGGCAUCCUACUGCUUCAAGGAUAUCCAAACAAUCCAGUUGGUCAAAGAUGUAGCCUACGGGUUUGUCAUAGUAUCCGGGAGUUUCGGGAGAAAGCACAUGUUCAUCAGUCAAAACCGAGAUGAGGUUAUAAAAAAGAUCCAAGAGAUGGCCACAUUUUACCUAGCUCUGAAAAUAGAUGUUGCAUCUGAAGAAAUUUCAAUUGACGAAUUUGCCAAUUUAAGGUUUGGGAAAUACAGUGAGGACGAGUUUAUCACGUCAGUCGUGGAGUUCACAGUAGAGAAGAUCCAAACCAACAGACACACGGAUGCAGAGCGUCGUCUGCUAUGUCUCAGCCAGGCUUGUCUGAUAGAGCGAGACGUACAGACUUACAACGCGGUCACACUGCGGCCGCUGGUGGACGUGACGGCCCUGAUACGCUGCGACGACAACUCUCAGCUGUUCACCAUAGAGUACGCUGAUGGCAGCUCCAAGACGUACCUCACCACCAACAGAGAUUCACUGUUGGCAACACUGCUAGACGGAGUGAGGGGGUCAGGAAACAUGGAUGUCCACGUGAAGAUGAAACCUACAGCCAGGGGCAAGAGAAUGGGCCCUUUUUAUGCAACCAUGGAAGAAGAGGUUGAGUCUUUGCACAUUUCGUACCUGAAGGAGGUUCCGGCCCGGACCGGUAAGCAGUUUUGUGAGAUGCUGGAGAGGUUCAACACAAACGUCCCUUACAGCGGACUCCUACACCAGACGACGCAAGAUGGACUGUUCACAGACAACAAGGAGAAGAUGAUACAGCAGGCACUGGAAUCUGUGAUGGCCAGAGGUGAUCUGGAGCCAACAGACAUGGACGUGGCUGACCUGGAAUGUUUGUUUCACACUCUACGUCGCCUCAUAGCUUCCCGGGCAGGGUUUAGCGCCUUCACCCAGCUCAAGGGUUUCCGUGAGUCACUGGGUGUGAAGGUGACCAAAGCGCUACGGCGUAACCACGAGGCCGUGACACACGCAGCCAUAGACACAGUCUGCGCGCUGAUGAAGCCGAUGUACAGUGACUGCGACCUGCGCCAGGAACAGCUGAACAAGUCGUCUCUGCUGUCGUCACCAAAGUUCCUACAGAGCUUGCUGGACAUGUGGGUCAGACAUGUGGAGUGCAACACAGGGACUUUGGUAGUGACGGCCAUGUUGGAUUUCCUCACCUUUGCGUUGUGUGUUCCGUUCAGUGAGACUACGGAGGGGAAACACUUUGACACGUUGCUGGAGAUGGUGGCUCAGAAGGGCAGAACGCUCUUUAAACUCUUUCAGCACACCUCCCUCACAGUACUGAAGGGAGCUGGACUUGUGAUGAGGGCGGUUAUAGAGGAAGGAGACGCAGGAGUGGCAGCCAAGAUGCAGGAGCUGGCGUUGUGCGAGGGAGCGUUACCCAGACACUUGCUGAUUGCUCUGUUCACCUCCGGCAGUGAACAACGUCACCUGGCCCAUCGUCAGCUGAGCAGACAUCUGGUCGGGCUGUGGGUGACAGGCAACUCUUGCGCUAUGGAGCUGCUAAACAGAUGCAUGCCUGUGGGACUGCUACAGUACCUGGAGAGCAAGGACCGAGUACCUGACGGAGAGGCUGAAGACGUGUUACAGAUCAGAGACAACCUGAAGCUGGCGCAGGACCACGCGGCCAAACACCAGCGCAACCACAUCUCUGUAGCUCUGGACAAGCACCGGCGCAUACUGGAGAAACAUGUUGAGCAUGUGCUAGAACAUUGGGGCACUUCGCUAAGCAACACACUGGGUAUCGAGAGGAAAGACGAGAAACCCAGAGACCGUCCGGUUGUGUUGCGGAAGAGAAGAGAGCGAAUUAAAAGCGAAGCUAACUGGAAACUUUUCUACUACAUGUUCAACCACGACCACAAACUGGCAAACCUUAUCUGGAAUCACAAGACCAGAGAAGAGCUGCGGGAAGCGUUGGAGAAGGAGGUGAGGUUGUUCACGUCAGACAGGGAUCUGCCAGGCAACGUACUGAUCGCUUGGAACCACAGUGAGUUUGAGGUUGUCUACCGGUCACUGGCUGACGAGGUCUGCAUUGACGGAUACUACCUCAACCUCAUGUUGGAGCUCAACUCUGUGCCGGAGACUCUGACAAGAAAUGCGAAGAGUUUCUUCAACAACCUGUACCACAAGUUCCUGAUCAACCCAAAGAUUGAGAUGAAGGUGACGUGUAUACAAGUUAUGACUCUCGUUUACGGUCACUAUCAUGAGGACAUCGGACCGUUCAGUGACACCAAGGUCAUAGUAGGGAUGCUUGACAGGUGUGUGGACAGGACGGAGAGAGAUCGUCUGCUGCUGUUCCUGGGCAAGCUGAUUCUCAACAAACAGAACGUGAAGGCGGUGUUAGACGCACAUGGAGUGCAGAUACUGGUGGAUCUACUCACUCUAGCUCACCUACACACGUCCAGGGCCGUGGUGCCUACCCAGACUAAUGUGAUAGAGGCUGGACAGGGGAUGAGUCAAGACAACGAGAAGGAGUGGUACUACAGUGUCGGAGCAGAGAAGAAAGGACCGUUCACUUUCCAGAAGAUGAAGGAGCUGUGGUCCAGUGGGGAGUUGACCACCAAGUCCAAGUGUUGGGCGCAGGGGAUGGACUCGUGGAGACUACCCCAGAACAUCCCUCAGAUCAAGUGGUGUCUGUUGGCCAGAGGGUCUGCAGUGCUCAAUGAGACGGAGCUGGCCACCGUGAUACUCAACAUGCUCAUCCAUAUGUGCCAGUUCUACCCCAGCAGAGAUCAAGACGAAGCUGUGAUCUGGCCGAUACCUCGCAUCAAGAGGAUACUGACGAGUGACCAAUGUCUGCCUCAUGUGGUACAACUGCUGCUGACCUUUGACCCCACACUAGUGGAGAAGGUGGCCACCCUGUUGUGUUUGGUGGCAGAAUACAACGCACAUGCUGCCAACCUUUACACUACUGGAGUGUUCUACUUCAUACUCAUGUACACCGGUUCCAAUGUUCUGCCAAUAGCCAAGUUUCUGCAAAUGACACAUAUCAAGCAGUCUUUCCGGAUGGAUGAGGCUAACUCCUCGGAGCUGAUGCAGCGCAGUGUGCUAGGCCAACUGUUGCCUGAAGCUAUGGUCUAUUACCUGGAAAACCACGGGGCUGACAAGUUUGCCCAGAUAUUCCUCGGAGAGUACGAUACUCCUGAGGCCAUCUGGAACUCGGAGAUGAGGAGGUUGCUGAUAGAGAAGAUAGCGUUACACCUGGCAGACUAUUCCCCCCGUCUGCGGGGCAACACCAGAGCCCCGUACGGUUACAUCGCCAUCCCCGCGGUCAGGUAUCCCCAGCUGGAGCAUGAGCUUUUCUGUAAUAUCUACUACUUGCGACAUCUGUGCGACACCAAGCGGUUCCCCAAUUGGCCCAUUAAGAACCCGGUGGGGCUGCUGAAGGAUGUACUUCAACUGUGGAAGGCGGAGGUGGAGAAGAAGCCACCGGAGAUGUCAGUCGAUGACGCGUACGAGGCGCUGGGACUAGCAAGGGGGCAACACCACGAGGAGGCACUUGUACGCAAAACUUACUACAAGCUCGCGCAGACUUACCAUCCGGACAAGAACCCAGAAGGAAAGGAAACUUUCUUGUCUGUGAAUCGGGCAUACGAGUUUCUCUGCAGCAACAAGCAGUGGACAGAAAAUGGGCCAAACCCUCAUAACAUUGUGUUGAUUCUACAGACACAGAGUAUUUUGUUCCACAACCAUUCUACGGAGCUGCAGCCGUACAAGUACGCAGGAUAUUCUCAGCUGAUCAAGACCAUACAGAUGGAGACUGCUGAUGCACAGCUGUUCUCCAAGCCUGCAAUGUUGUUGUCUGCUGCCACUGAGUUGGCUCAUCACACCAUCAACUGCUCUGUACUCAAUGCAGAGGAACUCAAUAGGGAAGGAGGCUUUCAGGUGCUGCUAGCUGCGUUCUCUCGAUGUGUGUCCGUGCUGAGUCGCUCGUCCGCACAGAAAGACAUGAAUGUGCAGGUUUGCACUCACUGUGUCCGCUGCUUCAGCGCGGCCGCUCAGUUCCCUGCCUGUCGUGAUACAUUUGCCAAGCUCCCACAGCUUAUUGAGGACUUGGUCAGGAUUUUCCAUUUUAAGAACUUGACCAAGCUGUGUUCUGAGGUGGUUGUGUGUGUGAGGAACCUAGCCGCAGACCCCAGACUACAACAGAGUCUACUAAACAACGGAGUGUUGUGGUAUCUUCUCACAUUCAUGUUCUCCUACGAUUACACUCUGGAGGAAUGUGGGGUGGAGAGGUCAGAGGACGCUAACAAUCAGGAGGUGGCCAACAGACUAGCCAAGUUGUCAGUGAGUGCCUGUGCCAGACUAGGAGGCUAUGAGAAGGACAGUCCCAACAACGCUGUGGUCAAAAGUAUCCUAGGAAAGCUACUGACUCCCUACCUGGCUGGCUUGUUCGCUGAAGACCAACCGGAGAAGGUCUUGAAACUUCUAACUAGCAACAGUGAAAACCCGUACUUGAUGUGGGACAAUACGACACGAGCAGAACUACAAGACUUCCUAGAAACACAAUGUAGCCAAAGAGAAUACGGACCCCUGACUGAUGUAGAGUUUGCCUACUCUAGUCAUGCCACGGAGCUGGUCAUAGGCAACGUGUUCAUCAGACUGUACAACAGUCAGCCAACAUUCCCCAUCAAGAAUGCUAAAGGAUUUCUCCUGGAUCUGCUGGAGUUUGUGAGGAUGAACCAACCUUCGCCAAACGAUGAGUCUGACACUGAGCGCAACGACAGAGUGACAAUGGCAUUACAUGCGCUUGGCAACGUUGUCAACAGCAAUCCUGGCCUGGAGAUGCAGUGUAUUGGUCACUUCAGACUGUUGUUUCCUCUGCUCAGCCUGGACUCUUGCCGUCCGAUACAACAGUCGACACUGGCCGUGAUCAGCGCUGUCACGCGUAAUCAGGAGUGUAUCAGUGACAUCGCUGCCAGCAACGUUUUGGUAUAUUUGUUCCUAGUUUUAUACUCUGUGCCUGAUAGUCAGCUGUUGACUCUGGAUAUCCUCUAUGCCUUGGUAUCCAACACUGCGGUUGUCAAGGACUUUCUUGCCAAAGGAGGGUUCAUUUACCUACUAGACCUUCUGUUUACUUCCUCAUCGCCAGAAACACAAGUGAAGUGUGCUGACCUGCUGGGGCGACUGUGCGCUGAUAAAUUGUCCGGGCCUCGGGUGCGACUGGCGCUCGACAAGUUCCUACCUCCCGCGAUGUGCGAUGCUCUGCGUGACAGUCCGUCACAGUGUCCUGGACUACUAGACACAAACCAAGAGAACCCUGAGCUGGUUUGGGACGACGAGUGUCGGAAGAAGGUGGCAGCCGUUAUUAGUAAUCUAGCUAGAAGACACUACGUAGCGCAGCGCACCAACCACUCGGCUGUCCUCACAUUGCCGGAGACUAGCGUUUUGUGUGCAGACGACGGUAGCAGCAGAGACGUGGUGGUGGGGGGAGUGUACCUGCGGCUGUUCAACAACAACCCUGGCUGGACACUGCGGAAACCUCGAGACUUUCUCAGUAGUCUGUUGGACACAUCCAUCAAGCAGAUCAACAAGGAAAAUCCAGAUUUUGACCUGUUGGAGUUGGUGAUCACCUCGCUCAUCAACCUGCUACAGUGUCAUCCCAUGUUGGCUGACCAGGUGCCAUCCCUAGGGUACAUCCCCAGGAUCUGUAGCUUGUUGCCGGGCGGAUCUUCCAGAACAUCUCAUGUUCUGCUGAGGAUAUUGCACCAGUUGUCAAUCAGUGAUGUCUGUAUCGGCAGCAUGGGACAGACAGAGAUACUGAAGCCCAUGCAGUCCACGAUGAAGGAAUAUUCCGAACUGGUUGUGUUGGGUUGUGACAUGAUGGCACGACUCUUCCUAGCGAAUAAGGACACACUGGUGAAACAGGCACUAGAUGUUGACUUGGUGCCAUACCUACUAACGUUGCUGGACGGUAGACUGGACAGGACUGAAAACGCAUCACGCAGCAAGGCACUCGUAGUGAAGGCACUAAAGUCUAUGAGCCAGAGUGUUCUGUAUGGCAGUCAGGUCAACGCUGUUCUCAACAAUUCCAAAGUUUGGGCUUCGUACAGUCAACAAAACCAUGACCUUUUCAUUACCAACACUCCCACGCAAAAUUACCUGACAGACAAGAAUAUCACAAAAUAAUAGCCAGAGAGAAACCAGGUUAGAAACUGAUGAUUCAAUGAGAAAAGUCACUGUUAUUGGGUGCCGAUGACUGCUGGAUACUUGACACAGGGUAGUUCCCAGCCUCUACCCACCUCUCCCCCUCCCCUCGACCCUGACAACAGCUGAGGGACGAGUCACCAAUGUGAUAUGUUUUGUUACUCAUAUACCCACUUCAAGCCUGUGAUCACCAUGUAAAGUCACCUAGGUUAAGUCUAGUUUUGAUGUCGCUUAGUAUAUAAUUUUGCUUUAUAUUAUUAUUUAUCCUCUUAAGAAGAGUCGAUAAUCGUGUGUGACUUGUCACACAGAUAGUAAAAUAUUAGGUUACAAAAAUGUUUACUGUUCAAAAGCAGUGGGACAUAUUGUAUGUGAUUUUUCUCUGUUGAUAAUCUCUAUGGCUCAUUUAGUACUCAAAUUCCUCGUUUUUUCAGUGCUAUUAUUUUAUUUUGUUUCACUGAUAUUCCAUAUAUAAUAUUAAAUGGGGUUUAUUUUGGCAUAUUUUAUAUUUUGGCCUGAUAAUUAGUUUACUAAUUAACCAUAAACAUGCUAUAAUUUCUACUUUUUGGAUCAUAUUUUGUUGUUUUAUAUAUAAUUAUCUAUAAUCUGUUUUGUUACAUUUUAUUAUAUCGUUAUAUUUUGAACAUUAUAUAUUUCUAUGUAAAUAAUGUAUUUAAACAACUGAAUUAGGUAGGCCUAAAUGUUAUUUUUAUGAAGUCAGUAAUUUUUAAUAUUAGAAAUUAAAAAUGUUUAAUGCGGAACUGUUUAUGUAUACAGUUUGUAAUUAUUUUUUUAUCGUCAAUAAAUAUUAUUUCUACCAAUGUAUUAACUUAGGUCUUACCUAGAUUACAAAUUGUUUAGUAGUUGCUCAAAACUGUUUUAUUGCCAUUUAUGUCGCCUUUUUCAGUCUUUCUAUUAAAUGUGAGCAAUAACUAGUUCGCCGUGUGGUAAGUG